rnacentral:rRNA from 1 species
CUGGCUCAGGAUGAACGCUGGCGGCGUGCCUAAUACAUGCAAGUCGAACGAGGUAGCAAUACCGAGUGGCGAACGGGUGAGUAACACGUAGGUAACCUGCCCUUAAGCUUGGGAUACCCAGAGGAAACUUUGGCUAAUACCGGAUAACAACAGAGAAGGCAUCUUCUUUGCUUGAAAGGCCCCUUCAAGGGUCACUUAAGGAUGGACCUGCGGCGCAUUAGCUAGUUGGUGAGAUAACAGCCCACCAAGGCGAGGAUGCGUAGCCGAACUGAGAGGUUGAUCGGCCACAUUGGAACUGAGACACGGUCCAAACUCCUACGGGAGGCAGCAGUAAGGAGUUUUCGGCAAUGGGGGAAACCCUGACCGAGCAACGCCGCGUGAGCGAUGACGGUCCUUUGGAUUGUUAAAAGCUCUGUUGUAAGCCAUGAAUGACAGCUUGAGGAAAUGCAAGUUGUUUGACGACAGCUUACCAGAAAGCCACGGCUAACUACGUGCCAGCAGCAGC